rnacentral:rRNA from 1 species
GGAUUUCUAAGACAACUAGGAUGUUGGCUUAGAAGCAGCCACUCAUUUAAAGAGUGCGUAAUAGCUCACUAGUCGAGAGAUCCUGCGCCGAAAAUGUCCGGGGCUCAAACUUACCACCGAAGCUACGGGCUCAAGUUUACUUGAGCGGUAGAGGAGCGUCGUAAUCGGGCUGAAGUCGUACCGUAAGGAGCGGUGGACUGAUUACGAGUGAGAAUGUUGGCAUUAGUAGCGAGAUGUAGGUGAGAAUCCUACAGGCCGAAUAUCUAAGGUUUCCUGAGUAAAGUUUGUCUUCUCAGGGUUAGUCGGGACCUAAGGCGAGGCCGAGAGGCGUAGUCGAUGGACAAUUGGUUGAUAUUCCAAUACCACUAUAAUCGUUAUUAUCGAUGGUGUGACGGAGAAGGAUAGGAUGUGCCAGCUAUUGGAUGCUGGUCUAAGCGUUGAGGGAGUUAGAACAGGCAAAUCCGUUCUAACAAUCCUAGGGCGUGAUGGGGAAGGUUCCACGGAACCGAAGUAUCUGAUUUCAUGCUUCCAAGAAAAGCAUCUAGAAAGAGAAGUAGUGCCCGUACCGCAAACCGACACAGGUAGAUGAGGAGAGAAUCCUAAGGCCGACGGAAGAAUCACAGUUAAGGAACUAGGCAAAUUGACCCCGUAACUUCGGGAGAAGGGGUGCCUACCAUUUGGUAGGCCGCAGAGAAUAGGCACAAGCAACUGUUUAACAAAAACACAGGUCUCUGCUAAAGCGUAAGCUGAUGUAUAGGGGCUGACGCCUGCCCGGUGCUGGAAGGUUAAGGGGAACACUUAGCGCAAGCGAAGGUGUGAACUUAAGCCCCAGUAAACGGCGGCCGUAACUAUAACGGUCCUAAGGUAGCGAAAUUCCUUGUCAGGUAAGUUCUGACCCGCACGAAUGGCGUAAUGACUUGGGCACUGUCUCAACUGCAAAUCCGGCGAAGUUGUAGUGCGAGUGAAGAUGCUCGCUACCCGCGAUUGGACGGAAAGACCCCGUAGAGCUUUACUGUAGCUUAGCAUUGAAUUUCGGUAUUGUCUGUACAGGAUAGGUGGGAGACUGGGAAAUUAGGGCGUCAGCCUUAAUGGAGUCGUUGUUGGGAUACCACCCUGAUAGUAUUGAAGUUCUAACUGGAUGCCAUGAAACUGGUGACAGGACAUUGUUAGGUGGGCAGUUUGACUGGGGCGGUCGCCUCCUAAAAUGCCAGCAGUUCAGCGUUGCCGACGCCGGAGCGUUGCAGGAUCUGCGGUGAAGCAAUCGCGCCUGCACAUAACAGCACUUCUUUAUUCGCCGCCGCGCGGGUCGGAAUGGUGCUGUCGCCUUCCAGCCACUCGACGCCCACCGCGCGUUUGCCGUCAAAAAUGAUGUGAUCGGUCAUGGCGUGAGUACGAAUGGUCAGGUUAGGGCGCGAUUUGGCCUGAUCGAGAUAGCCACGCGCGGUGCUGGCGCGACGGCCAUGCGGCGUGACGGUGCGAUCCAUCGGGCCAAAACCUUCUUGCUGAUAGCCGUUGAGAUCGUCCGUGCGUGGGUAGCCUGCCUGCAUGCCCGCUUCAAUCAUCGCUUCAAACAGCGGAUUGACGCCGGGUUUGGAGGUGAUGACGCUCACCGGGCCAUCGCCACCGUGGUAAUCGUUCUC